ACACGUGGCACAUCGGUCUCGGGGCAUUACAACACUCCACCACUACGAGAGGAUCUCGUCUCGAGAUCUAGAAUGGCACCGGAGGGACAACGAAAGAGAAAGAGGAGAGGUAAAGCUAAGUUGCUUCUUUGACGAACGAGUGACACCAAAGAACCUCGAGAGGUUGCACAAAUUUGAAAGAAAGAAUACAACGAAGAUGAAUAAAGUUGAAAGCACUUCGUUAGGGAAAAGAACAAGGAAGAACAACUUUGGGCAGCACUCCAGUUGAAAAUAACAGAAAUUGAAUAAGAACUUGAUAGGAUGAGAGGAUACUUGAUGAAAUCACAACAUACAUCCUCCGGAAGUAUUGAAUGAAUGGAACAAGGGGUAAGAAAGAUCUCAGACAGCACUCCGGUUUAAAAGAGAUGAAAAACUUGAUAAAAUGAAAGAGCUUGAGCAAAAGGACACAAUACUCCGGUUAAAAGGAUAAAACAAGAAAAGAACACG
rnacentral:lncRNA from 1 species